GAUGGUCGAGCCGCCAAAGUCGAACCAGCGGUUCUGCAGGUCCGAGUCGACGUACGGAGCGUACAGAGAACCCCGACGCUGGUGACCCUCCCUUUGCGGCCGCAAGCAACCCUGUCGGUCUGUGGGCAUGGCGACGGGUGGAGGAACGACGCGAGGUGGAAGUGCGGCGAGUGGGGAGAC
rnacentral:misc_RNA from 1 species